CCUACGGGUGGCAGCAGUGGGGAAUAUUGGACAAUGGGCGCAACCCUGAUCCAGCGAUGCCGCGUGACUGAAGAAGGCUUUCGGGUUGUAAAGCUCUUUUAUCAGGGAAGAAAAUGACGGUACCUGAAUAAAAAGCUCCGGCUAACUACGUGCCAGCAGCCGCGGUAAUACGUAGGGAGCAAGCGUUAUCCGGAUUGACUGGGUGUAAAGGGAGCGUAGACGGUUCAGCAAGCAUGAUGUGAAAGCUCGGGGCUAAACCUGGGGACUGCAUUGGAAACUGUUGAACUGGAGUGCAGCAGAGGUAAGCAGAAUUCCUAGUGUAGCGGUGAAAUGCGUAGAUAUGAGGAGGAACACCGGUGGCGAAGGCGGCUUACUGGGCUGUAACUGACGUUGAGGCUCGAAAGCGUGGGGAGCAAACAGGAUUAGAUACCCUAGUAGUC
rnacentral:rRNA from 1 species